rnacentral:misc_RNA from 1 species
GCAAACUUGGUCAUUUAGAGGAAGUAAAAGUCGUAACAAGGUUUCCGUAGGUGAACCUGCGGAAGGAUCAUUAUCGAUUCUUAGGAACGGUAGGGGAUGUCGCUGGCCCAACUUUUUACCGUUAGGUCGUUGCACUCCUUUGCUUCCUUUUUUCUUGCAUUUGACCCUGUGCACUCUUUGUAGGCAAAACGGGAAUGAACUUUUUCCUUACUAUGCCUAUGCUUUUUUUUUUUAAUUCACUCUUGUGAUAAUGUCUUGACAUCAUUUUGUAACCCUUUACAACUUUCAACAAUGGAUCUCUUGGCUCUCGCAUCGAUGAAGAACGCAGC